GACUGAUUUCAUAUGGGAUUAAGUCAGAGAAUGAAUUAUGGGAGAGAUUAAGAUGGGUCAAACUCACUAAUUGAUUAAAUAACUCUGAUGAGAUAGAGCCAUUGAAAUCGUUAAAAGCAAGGUUGAGUUGUUGGAGUCCUUGAAGGUGGAAGAGGCUGCUGUUUGCAGGGAGAGUACCGUUAAGGCAGCUGGCACUGAGGUCGAUGGCAAUGACCUGACCCGUCACCAUGUGGCAACUGACUCCAUCCCAUGAACAACAAUCCGUGCUUUCAUUCCAAGAAUUUGUCGUAGGGUAAGAAGAAGCUAGCCAACAAUCAUCCAGAGAAAUGGUGUUUUUGAAUUCGAGCAAGGCAGCUCUUUGUUCUGGGAGGCAUAAAUGAGCUGAAUCAAGAAAAGAGGAAGGGGAACUCAAUGAACAAUGGACGUGGAAAUGCAAGAGUGCUAAAAGCAGGCAAAGGAUUCGAAAAAACAUCUUAACUACCUUUCCCAUAUUUUCUAGAGAAAAAGGAAGUUAUGAAACAAGGGUAGUCGAAAAAGGGCAAGCUAGGGAGGUGAAACUGAAAAUGAGUUGGGGUUGAGGUCGAGGGACAUUUUAAAUGAAGUACCUGAGAAGUGGAGACAUCUCCUUUUCAAGUCAACCAACAAGUCUUUGCAAAAUCUCUUAAAUUGUCAAAAUUAAAUUAAAAGGAAAAAAAAGAAAAAUUGUAUGUGCCGUGUUAGAAUGAAAAGCAUUAAGGCCACUGUGUCCAAUCCCACCUGAGACGUUAAUAGGAUUUGCAUAUUUUUCUUGAUUUCUCAUUUGAUGUAUACUUUUAUUUUAUGCUCUUUGGGAUAUGCUUAUUAGAUUCAAAUCUCAGUAGAGACACAAAACUAAUUCAUCUUAGAAUUGCAACUCAUUCCUGUAUAACUCACUUGAUGUGAUAAUAAAUAAAAAAUUAUUAAAUAAAGGAAUUCUUUAUUGUAGAUUACAGCUAAUUCACGUCUUUGUCAAAGAAAUUAUAAAAAUUUUCACAUUUUGGGAUCAUCAUCAGAAGUUAAAGAUAACUUUUUCUUUUCAUUUUUUUUCCAAAAAAAAGAGAGAUAGGUCAAAAGUAAGAAUUCAUGUCAAAAAACAAGCCGUGUGUGAGGGUAAAAAACCAUCUAAAAUCAAAUAUUAAACUAAUGAAUUCACCAUUUGAACAACAAUUUACCUAUAACUCAUUUCAACCUAAUAACUUUAGAUCCAAUUGAUGUUAACAUGAGAAGACUCCUAUAAGUUUACAUGAAAAUCUAUAAAACACACCAAAUUAUGUUUAUUUCACUUUGCACUUUCUACAACUGUAUCAUCCAUUGAAGGUAAAAUUAAAAAACUGAACACAUAAAUAAAUCCAGCAUUCAACAAAUACAUCAAGUUAAGCAAACGCAUAAAAGCAAUCAUUUUUGAAGAAUUAAAAAUAAAAAUGAAACUUAUUUAGAUAAUGAAAUGCAUAAUUCUACUUUUAUAUGAAGUAACUAAUUAUUCCAGUCAUUGUUCAUUUAAUCAAUUACAUAAUUUUGCUUCAAAGCAACCUUUCAAGCAACAGCAAUAACAACCAACCCAAACGCAAAACAGAUAAAAAGAAAAGAAAAACUGAAAUGAAAAAUUACCUGUCUAUGAAUCAAAUCACCACGCAAAGAGUAAACCAAGAUGAAAGGAAAGUGGUGCUGGCGUUGGCGAUGAGGAUAAGAGAUCGGUUAGCGAAGGCAAGGCAGUGAGCGUCGAGAGCACAGAGGAGAGUGGUGCUGGCGUUGGGUGGCGAGCCAUCCUUCCUUGCCAGCGCCGAACUCGGACAAGUCUUCGCAGGUGAUGCGGCCGAGAUCCAUCAAGUGACGAUGGCUUCGCUUCGACAUUGCGUAGGGCAACUGAGAUUACGGAUUAGAAAGGAAAGAAUUUUGUACAUGAAAGGAAAGUGGUGACUUUGUGGGAUCCACAUGUAGGGUUGGGAAGAAAAUUCAAAAAAUUAAUUAAAAAUAAAAAUGAAAGCAUUGGAACAUGUUUGAUUAAAGUCGUGCAAAUUACAACAAAAUUUUCAAUACAAAUUCUAAAUUCAGAAAAAAAAAUCUUCAGAACUUGUCUUUUCCACAUAAAACUUCAGAUAAAUGCUGCUGAACAUGAAUAGCAAAUAAUCAACUAAGAACACCUAGAAUUGUUCAAACCACUGCCAUGGAAAAGCCAGAUGCUAGAGAAGCAGGGUCCAUUGGAUUUGGUUCGAAAGCCACCUUGACAAAUAGAAAAAAGAAAACCAAAGGAAAAUCAAUUAUAGAUUACAAAAGCAAUGAGAACUUUGUUAUUUUUCUACUUUGACAAAAAAACUCACCUAUGCAUGAUCUGGAUGUAGUGCUAGUUUCUUCUUCCUCUGUUUCUACCAACCCACUUUGUAACAUUGUUUUGCCAAUCUCUCUCAACCAUUCUGAUAAACCACCAUGGUCUUCCUGUUGUGAAUACAAUGUAUCCCAUGCUCAAUCCUAACACCACUCCACAUCCAUAGCCCAUCAUUACAACUUUCCAAAUAAAGGCUAUUUCAGAACCUUCAUCUUCCUUAAGCAUUGGUACAGUUGGUUUUGGUUCUUCAUCAUUGCCGCAUUGCUUUGACAGUGGGAAGCCGCACAGUCCCAAGUUAUUGCUAUAAGAAUCGUUCUCAAAAGUACCAAAUUGAUUCCCAUGAGGAAUUGGCCCGACAAGAUAAUUUUUUGAAAGAUUUAACACUUCAAGGAAUGUCAGAUUCGUCAUUUGGGAAGGAAUUCUGCCACCAAGCUUGUUUGACGAGAGAUCUAACGAUUCAAGUGCUACCAUAUUUCCGAAAGAUGGUGGGAUAGGACCAGUCAAGUUGUUGUUGGACAAGUUGAGCGUUUGGAGCAAAAUAAGUUCUCCGAGUUCCUUAGGAAUUUGUCCACAAAAUAAAUUGUUCGAUAAGUCUAUGGACGUGAAACUGGUUAGGGUUUCUGCCAACUCCAUCUCCAAUUUUUUUGUUGUUACAUUCACAGAAGCUUUCUUAGAAUCACCCAUACAAUAUUUGCAGCCGCGAUCUUUCAUUGCUCUCAAAGUUUUGAAGAAUUUUGUUGGCAAGGGGCCGGUGAGCUCAUUAUGAGAGAGAUCAAUUAUUUGCAAUGCCGAGAAGUUAGAUGAAGCUAUGGAGUUGGGCAUGGGACCAUGCAAUCUAUUAGAUCGCAAAAUAAGAACUCGCAGCCAAGGAAGUGAAGCUAACCAAUGGGGAAAGGCAUCAGCGAACUUGUUGUUCCUUAAAUUCAAAAUUCUCAAGGAACUACAAUUAGCCAAAGAUCGUGGCAGUAAUCCUUCCAAUUGGUUGUCAUUAAGGAAAAGAUAUCUCAACUGACCAUUUGUAAAAGAAUCAGGGACUUUGCCAUAAAAAUUAUUCAUCUCCAAAUUCAUGAACUCGAGACGAAAGCUGAAAUUUCCAAGAUAAUUUGGAAUGGUUCCAGUCAAGUUAUUUCUAGACAAGUCAAGAAACACAAGUGAACUUUGAUUGCAAAUCAAAGGAUUUGAAAGAAUUGGCCCUUGAAGCAAGUUUGAUCGAAGGUCAAGAAUAUGAAGAUUCUUUCCUGGGAAUUGUUCCAAAGUGGUCAGAAAAUUGUAAGAAAGGUACAACUCGAGCAAGCUUUCCCACCCUUCUGCUUCCCGUUUGGAAAUUCCACCAUAAAUCUUGUUAUUGGAAAGAUCUAAAAUCUCCAAAUUUGAUGUUCGAAAGAAACUUGGGAAUUGUGUUAUGCUACAAGAAGAGAAUGACACAUUACAAAGCUGAGGGAAGGAAUAGUUAACAUCAUUUUCGCUUGCGCUUAAUGAUAGUAAACUAUUAUUUGAAAGAACAAGAUGGGUAAGAUUUUUGAGUUUUGCAAGCAUAUUUGACUUGAUGACACCACUCAAGUUGUUUGAGGAAAGAUCAAGCCUUUCAAGGCUCACAAGAUCAAAAAAAGAAUUGGGUAUUGAUCCAUGAAUGUCAUUAGAACUCAAAUAAAUAUGUUUUAGAGAAUUAGGCUUCUGAAUUUGGUUGAUUGAGCCGGUGAGUUUGUUAUGGCUGAGUCCUAAAUAUUUCAAAGAUGGCAAAGUAAACAGCCAAGAUGGUAGUCCACCACUUAUAAGGUUACCGGAUAAGAGAAUUUCUUCUAGCAAUCGAAGCUCACUAACAUGAUUUGGCAGGGGACCUUCUAAUCGAUUAUGUGACAAAUCUAGUUGGGUGAGUUGUGUGAGAUUGAACAUAGUUGUUGGAAGUUGACCACUAAAAUUGCAGCAAGAAAAUGACAAAAAAGUCAAUUUAUUAAGGUUUCCAAAAGCAUCUGGAAUCUGUCCUCCAAAAUCAUUUUCAGAAAAAUCUAAGUGGAUGAUUUGACUGAGAUUUCCAAUUGAUGCAGGAAUUGACCCUCUAAAACUGCAAAAGGAAAGGUCCAACAACUUAAGGCCACUACUCAAGUUUGACUUAGGGAAAUAAUCUGUAAGAUUUCUGUUACUACUUAAAUCCAUGUGCUGGAGGUAUGGGAGGCGAAAAAUUUCACUUGGAAAUUCCCCAUGCAGUUCACACGCUCCGAGACUCAAACGUUCCAGAGAUGAAGUCAAGUUCAAAAAGGAAGGAAGUGCAACAUCAGACAUAUCUACAGAGUCAAGGAUAAGGUUUCUUAAUUCAGUUAAGUUGCAUGCAAGCAUGUCAAAACCUUGACUAUCAAAUCUCAAAUCGUGAUAACCAUUAUUGGAAAGAUCGAGUGAAACCAAUUUUGACAGGAGACUGAUAUCAUAUGGGAUUAAGUCAGAGAAUGAAUUAUGGGAGAGAUUAAGAUGGGUCAAACUCACUAAUUGAUUAAAUAACUCUGAUGAGAUAGAGCCAUUGAAAUCGUUGAAAGCAAGGUUGAGUUGUUGGAGUCCUUGACGGUGGAAGAGGCUGCUGUUUUCAAGAAAAGAGCCAUGAAGGUUGUUGGAACUAAGAUCGAGCCAUUGAAGUCUUUGAAGGUGAAAGAGGCUGCUGUUCGCAGGGAGAGUGCCGUUAAGGCAACUGUUACUAAGGUCGAUGCCAAUGACAUGACCCGUCACCAUGUGGCAACUGACUCCAUCCCAUGAACAGCAAUCCGUGCUUUCAUUCCAAGAAUUUGUUGUAG
rnacentral:lncRNA from 1 species